UAUUAAAAAUUUCAUUUAUUCUACUGGUAAAAAUUAGCAUGACUAAUAGAAUAACAAAAAAGUGACAUGUGGUGUGCCUUGUGUACCUCAUCAGGAACCAAUUUUAAUAGAAGAAAUGGAUGGAUUUUUUUAACA
rfam:Gossypium raimondii Chr11_contig_1366, whole genome shotgun sequence.